CAAGUAAGCCUGAUAAUUACUGCGUCAAUUAAGACGUUGAAGGAAAGUCCGGACACCGCCGUUCAUUUUUUGAAUGGAAAGCGGCAGUCGUGAAAGCGACCGGGCAUAAGCAGUAGGGUAAAAAACUUACGAUCGUACUUUUUUACUCGCCAACUGUAAAACCCAGGGAAAGUGCAACAGAAAGUAGACAGCCUAAGCCCGCGAAAGCGGGACGGCAAUGGUGAAAAUGUGAGGUAAGAGCUCACACUAAUCCCGAGUGAUCGGGAUUUUGCGGCAAACCCUGCCUGGUGCAAGAGCAAAAUGGUUGCUUGCUUAGAUAAAUGAUUAUCGCCCCCGAUGUUAAAUCGCGGGGUACAGAAUCCGGCUUAUGGCUUGCUUGGGUC
rnacentral:RNase_P_RNA from 2 species